rnacentral:lncRNA from 1 species
GAGGAGGAGGAGGCGCAGGAAAUUGAAGGCUGCCUUUGGCAGCGUGAGAGAGAGGAGAGACGCGCUGACUGGACAGAAGGAAAGGCAGCUCCCAGAGGCAGGACAGAGGGGAGAGAAGGCAAAGGCAAGGAGAAACUGACGGGAGCAACACAGAGAGCAAAGUUUCACUCCAUUUUUCUUGGUUUUAUCUUCUCAAACCCAUAUUUUACUUUUGGUUUAAUUUGAAAAUAAUGUGUAACUAAAUUUAUUUUGGCUAGAGGUUAAUUCAAAGCCCUGAAUAUAUUUGUAAUAUGAAUUGAUUACCUUCAGUUGUGAUUUCUGAGUUGUGAUUUAAUUUGCUUAA